rnacentral:rRNA from 1 species
GAGACCGCCGCACAUCUCCUCUUUCAGUGUAGAUUCACCACUCGAGUUUGGAAUGAAGUUGUCAGCUGGCUCGGCCUGCAUGGCCAUUCGCCGAUGGCUUGGCACCAUGAAAACUCUGUCCGUGGUUGGUGGCUCCGUUCGGUGCAGGCUGGAGGCCACAUCAAAAAGGCCACCGCCUCGGUGAUGAUGCUUGUUUCUUGGGAAAUAUGGAAGGAGCGAAACGCCAGAAUCUUCAGCAACACUGCCGCCCCGACCACCGUUGUCGUUGCAAGGAUCAAAGAGGAGGCCCAGCUUUGGGCGUUGGCGGGAGCGAAACAUCUGAGUAGUCUGAUGUCACGAGAGUAG